GCUGGGCGUGGUGGCGUGCGCCUUUAACCGAGCUACUACGGAGCAGGUAGUGUCGAAUGACUUGACGUCGGGACUCCUGUCGUACGUCGACAGGGGUCCCUUCGGGGAACCUUCGUCCACCAGGUUGAAUAAAGAGGAACGUACCGGUCCAGGAUGGAAACAUAGCAGACAAAAGUUCCCGCGUCAAACAGUAGUGGGAUAGCACCUGUGAAUAGGAGGCGUGCGACAGCCCGGCCAAGAUAGUUGAACCCGUUUCCAU
rnacentral:SRP_RNA from 1 species